rnacentral:rRNA from 1 species
UACGUAGGGUGCGAGCGUUGUCCGGAAUUAUUGGGCGUAAAGAGCUCGUAGGCGGUGUGUCACGUCGGCCGUGAAAACCUGCAGCUUAACUGUGGGCGUGCGGUCGAUACGGGCAUCACUGGAGUUCGGCAGGGGAGACUGGAAUCCUGGUGUAGCGGUGAAAUGCGCAGAUAUCAGGAGGAACACCGGUGGCGAAGGCGGGGGUCUCUGGGGGCCCGAUACUG